rnacentral:rRNA from 1 species
UUGACGGGGCCGCACAAGCGGUGGAGCAUGUUGGUUAAUUCGAAGCAACGCGAAGACCUUACCUAGGUCUUGACAUCCCGAUGCUAUUUCUAGAGAUAGAAGUUACUUCGGUACAUCGGUGACAGGUGGUGCAUGGUUGUCGUCAGCUCGUGUCGUGAGAUGUUGGGUUAAGUCCCGCAACGAGCGCAACCCCUAUUGUUAGUUGCCAUCAUUCAGUUGGGCACUCUAGCGAGACUGCCGGUAAUAAACCGGAGGAAGUGGGGAUGACGUCAAAUCAUCAUGCCCCUUAUGACCUGGGCUACACACGUGCUACAAUGGUUGGUACAACGAGUUGCGAGUCGGUGACGGCGAGCUAAUCUCUUAAAGCCAAUCUCAGUUCGGAUUGUAGGCUGCAACUCGCCUACAUGAAGUCGGAAUCGCUAGUAAUCGCGGAUCAGCACGCCGCGGUGAAUACGUUCCCGGGCCUU